UGGGGGGCCCCAGCCCUGGGCCCUGAGCUCACCUUGACCCCAUCCGAAGAUCCAAGAGGGCUGGCCCUGGGGGGCCCCCGGCCCUGGGCCCUGAGCUCACCUUGACCCCAUCCGAAGAUCCAAGAGGGCUGGCCCUGGGGGGCCCCCGGCCCUGGGCCCUGAGCUCACCUUGACCCCAUCCGAAGAUCCAAGAGGGCUGGCCCUGGGGGGCCCCCAGCCCUGGGCCCUGAGCUCACCUUGACCCCAUCCGAAGAUCCAAGAGGGCUGGCCCUGGGGGGCCCCCAGCCCUGGGCCCUGAGCUCACCUUGACCUCAUCCGUGAUCAUCAUGGCAUCUUGGGACAUGAUCUUCAUAUCCGACAGCUCUGAGCAGUAGUUGACCACGAGGUUCUGCAGCUUGUCCAGCUCAAUGGGGUAUCCUGCCAGCACCUGUGUUGAAUGGGGUUCUCUUGUGGCCCCUACAGAGUGGGCUGCAGUUGCCCCGAGCUUUUAUCCCCCGACUAAGAGCCCUGAGAACAGUGAUAGGUUCUCCUCUGUGGCCCCAGCCACCUCCCCCACUCCCCGCUGGGCACAACGGUGAUGAAAGGUGUUUCACAGGGAGUGGACAGUGCUGGCCUGGUGGACUCUUUCACCACCUAGGGUCCAACAACCCAGAGAGACUGAGAGAGUUUGUGAUGAAAUGCUCUGCAGAAAAGGCUGACUGAAACCCGGGGAGGUUUGGGGACAGUUCUGCUUUGAAGUGAAACAGAGGGGCUCAAGACAUGGGCUUGGGGUCAGAGAGUCAGGAUUCAAGGCCAAGGCAGCUUCUGACCAGCUAGUUUAGCUGUGUGACAUUGGGAAAGUUACUUAAUCUCUCUGUGUCCCCAUUUGUAAGAUGAUGGCUCGUUCAGAAGGUUGCCAUCAGGAUGAAUUGAGUGUAAAAGGAAUUAUUUAGCCCAGAACCAGGUACAUACGUGCUCAGGAUAGCUUUGCUAUAGUGGUUUGUUUUUUGUAACUACAAGUAUAGGCCAGGUGCGGUGGCUCACGCCUGUAAUCCCAACACUGGGAGGCCGGAGGCAGGCAGAUCAUGAGGUCAGGAGUUAGAGACCAGCCUGGCCAACAUAGUGAAACCCUGUCUCUACUAAAAAUACAAAAAAAAUCAGCCGGGCGUGGUAGUGGGCGCCUGUAAUUCUAGCUAUUCGGGAGGCUGAGGCAGGAGAAUCGCUUGAACCCGGGAGGCGGAGGUUGCAGUGAGCCGAGAUCUCACCACUGCACACCAGCUGGGGCAACAGUGUGAAACUCCAUCUCAAAAAACAAAACAAACAAAAACAAAACUAGAAGUGUAGAAUCUUCAUUUUUAAAAAUAUGGAUGACUAUGGGAAUUAUUGCUUGUUUUUUCCUUUGUUCUGAGACUGAAUCUCACUCUAUCACCCAGGCUGGAGUGCGAUGGUACGAUCUCGGCUUGCAGCAACCUCUGCCUUCUGGGUUCAGGUGAUUCUCGUGCCUCAGCCUCCCGAGUAGCUGGGAUUACAGGCAUGCACCACCAUGCCAGGCUACUUUUUGUAUUUUUAGUAGAGAUGAAGUUUCACCAUGUUGGCCAGGCUGGUCUAGAACUCCUGACCUCAAGUGAUCCGCCUGCCUUGGCCUCCCAAAGUGCUGGGAUUACAGGCAUGAGCCACCAUGCCCAGGCCGGGAAUAAUUGUUUUUUAAGUGUGUAUGUUCUAAACAGAAGAAGGCGCUACCAGAGGAACAGAAAGCACCCAGGCGAAGGAGGGGCAUGGACAGGGGUGGGGAGAGGGGUGGGCCCAGGAAGCAUAGAGGGGCAGGGCUUCCAGGUGAGCCAAUAGGACCAGGGGCCAAGGCAAGAGGGACAAGCAGAGGACGGUGCUGAGAGCCACCUGGGCUGGGACCACAGCAGGAAAAGAGCUGCGAUGCAGCCUCCGUCCACCACUCCUCCUAAACUGCACUUCCAUGCUGUCACCUUCCCGAAGCAUGGCUCUCCAGAGCUCCCCUUUGCCCAGUCUUAGGGUGAGGGUGUUUCCAGCUGGCUCCCCGCCCCAUCCACAGGUUGCUCCUCUUAGCACCUCCUGUGCUCUCCCUAUCUACAGCCCAUCUGGAGUAGGUUCUGCUUUGUGGCAGCCCGAGGGGCGGUGCUCAGCCUCCCAUGAAGGGGGUCUUCCCUCACAAUCGGACUGCUGGCUGCCUUUGGCCUCGUCUGCAGGGAGCAGGGCGGGUGGGCUGGCUGGGACGGCAGCAAGCCCUGCUUACAGGCCCAGCGGACCCUCAAAGGUGCAAGGACUUUCUGAGGGUGCAGGACCUGUCUGACUCUCAGAGGCCCAGGCAAUGAGAAAAUGACAGGCAAGAUACAAACAAUACCAAAUCAUUUAAUACGUGCAAGAAAGUCCGAAGAAUUCUGAUAUACCCCACGAUAUGCUUUUUUGGAAUAGCCAAAAAUGAAGUUUAAAAAAACGUUUUCCACAUGCCUCGGCGUCCUGCGUAGCCGGUGGUCAGGCAGAGCUCCC
rnacentral:lncRNA from 1 species